UACGAAGGGUGCAAACGUUGCUCGGAAUUAUUGGGCGUAAAGCGCACGUAGGCGGCUUGGCAAGUCGGAUGUGAAGUCCCUCGGCUCAACCAAGGAAGUGCAUCCGAAACUGCUGAGCUUGAGUACUUAAGAGGAUCGCGGAAUUCCCGGUGUAGAGGUGAAAUUCGUAGAUAUCGGGAGGAACACCAGUGGCGAAGGCGGCGAUCUGGGAAGAUACUGACGCUGAGGUGCGAAAGCGUGGGGAGCGAACAGG
rnacentral:rRNA from 1 species